CCCUUAGACGUUCUGGGCCGCACGCGCGCUACACUGACCUGUGCAACAAGCAUCCGUCCUUGGCCGACAGGCCCGGGCAAUCUUUGAACGCUGGUCGUGAUGGGGAUAGACUUUUGCAAUUUUUGGUCUUCAACGAGGAAUUCCUAGUAAACGCAAGUCAUCAACUUGCAUUGAUUACGUCCCUGCCCUUUGUACACACCGCCCGUCGCACCUACCGAUUGAAUGGUCCGGUGAAGCCUCCGGAUUGGCGCGCACCUCGGUGCCGCCGAGAAGUUGGCUAAACCUUACCAUUUAGAGGAAGGUGAAGUCGUAACA
rnacentral:rRNA from 1 species